AGUUAUUUAGCUUAAACUUAAAGCAAUUACUUUGAAAGUAAAAGAAAGAUUAAUAUUUAAUAACUU
rnacentral:tRNA from 1 species